rnacentral:rRNA from 1 species
GGCGGACGGGUGAGUAACGCGUGGGUAACCUGCCUCAUACAGGGGGAUAACAGUUAGAAAUGGCUGCUAAUACCGCAUAAGCGCACAGCUUCGCAUGGAGCAGUGUGAAAAACUCCGGUGGUAUGAGAUGGACCCGCGUCUGAUUAGCUAGUUGGUAAGGUAACGGCUUACCAAGGCGACGAUCAGUAGCCGACCUGAGAGGGUGACCGGCCACAUUGGGACUGAGACACGGCCCAAACUCC